rnacentral:rRNA from 1 species
CCCUUAGAUGUUCUGGGCCGCACGCGCGCUACACUGAUGCAUUCAACGAGCCUAUCCUUGACCGACAGGUCCGGGUAAUCUUUGAAUCUGCAUCGUGACGGGGAUAGAUUAUUGCAAUUAUUAAUCUUCAACGAGGAAUGCCUAGUAGGCGCAAGUCAUCAGCUUGCGUCGAUUACGUCCCUGCCCUUUGUACACACCACCCGUCGCUCCUACCGAUUGGGUGUGCUGGUGAAAUGUUCGGAUCGGCCGUUUGUCGCGGUUUCCGCGUCAUGUGGCUGAGAAGUUCAUUAAACCCUCCCACCUAGAGGAAGGAGAAGUCGUAACA